rnacentral:rRNA from 1 species
GAAUUUUAUUAUUUUAUAUUUUAGAUUAUAUUUAUUUAUAUGAUUAAUUAUAAUAUUUAUUUAUUAUUUAAAAUAAAUUGUUCCAGAUUAUUCGGCUACACUUUUUAAUUUAUUUUUUUUUUGUUUUUAUAUUAAAUUUUAUUUUUUUUAUUUUUUUGUGUUUAUUAUCAUAUUGAGAAAUAUUACGUUUUAUUUAUUUAUUUUUUUUACAUAGUUUUUUAGAAUAUACAUGAAUUUUUUAUUUUUUAUGAUAAUUUUUUAAAAUGUUUAAUUUUUAUAUUUUAUAAUUUGUUUUUAAUUUUAGAAAUUAUUUUUGUUUUUUAAUAUUUAUAGUCCUAUGAAAAAAUAAUUUUUUAAGUAGUAUUAGGGAAUAAAAUUUUAUAAAUUUUAUAUUUGAUAAUUUAAAAUUUUUU